ensembl:miRNA gga-mir-6673 gga-mir-6673
GUGCUACAUGGUGGAUCUGCACAGUACAUUCCCCUUUCAGGUGUUGUGGAAUAGGCACUUAAACAGGCACCUGAGAAUGAGAUGUGCUGUGUCUGUCAGCACUAGAAGGC